AUUGAACGCUGGCGGCAGGCUUAACACAUGCAAGUCGAGCGGAGAUGAGGUGCUUGCACCUUAUCUUAGCGGCGGACGGGUGAGUAAUGCUUAGGAAUCUGCCUAUUAGUGGGGGACAACAUUCCGAAAGGAAUGCCAAUACCGCAUACGUCCUACGGGAGAAAGCAGGGGACCUUCGGGCCUUGCGCUAAUAGAUGAGCCUAGGUCGGAUUAGCUAGUUGGUGGGGUAAAGGCCUACCAAGGCGACGAUCUGUAGCGGGUCUGAGAGGAUGAUCCGCCGAACUGGGACGGGGAAACGGCCCAGACUCCUACGGGAGGCAGCAGUGGGGAAUAUUGGACAAUGGGCGGAAGCCUGAUCCAGCCAUGCCGCGUGUGUGAAGAAGGCCUUUUGGUUGUAAAGCACUUUAAGCGAGGAGGAGGCUACUAGUACUAAUACUACUGGAUAGUGGACGUUACUCGCAGAAUAAGCACCGGCUAACUCUGUGCCAGCCGCCGCCGUAAGAC
rnacentral:rRNA from 1 species